rnacentral:rRNA from 1 species
AGUGAACGCUGGCGGUAGGCCUAACACAUGCAAGUCGAACGGCAGCACAGUAAGAUCUUGCUCUUACGGGUGGCGAGUGGCGGACGGGUGAGGAAUACAUCGGACUCUACUUUUUCGUGGGGGAUAACGUAGGUAAACUUACGCUCAUACCGCAUCCGACCUACCGGUGAAGGCAGUGGAUCUUCGCACCUUGCGCGAUUGAAUGAGCCGCUGUUGGGUUAGCUAGUUGGCGGGGUAAAGGCCCACCCAGGCGACGAUCCGUAGCUGGUCUGAGAGGCUGAUCGGCCGCACUGGAGCGGGGACACGGUCAAGACGCCUGCGGGAGGCAGCAGGGGGGAAUAGUGGACAGUGGGGGCAAGCAUGAUACAGCGGUCGCGAGUGGGUGAAGAAGGCGUUCGGGUUGUAAAGCCCUUUUGUGGGGAAAGAAAAGCAGCAGGUUGAGACCAAGCUGGUGUGACGGUACCCAAAGAAGAAGCACCGGCUAACUACGUG